rnacentral:rRNA from 1 species
GACGAACGCUGGCGGCGUGCUUAACACAUGCAAGUCGAACGGAAAGGCCCUGCUUUUGUGGGGUGCUCGAGUGGCGAACGGGUGAGUAACACGUGAGUAACCUGCCCUUGACUUUGGGAUAACUUCAGGAAACUGGGGCUAAUACCGGAUAGGAGCUCCUGCUGCAUGGUGGGGGUUGGAACGUUUCGGCGGUUGGGGAUGGACUCGCGGCUUAUCAGCUUGUUGGUGGGGUAGUGGCAUACCAAGGCUUUGACGGGUAGCCGGCCUGAGAGGGUGACCGGCCACAUUGGGACUGAGAUACGGCCCAGACGCCUACGGGAGGCAGCAGUGGGGAAUAUUGCACAAUGGGCGGAAGCCUGAUGCAGCAACGCCGCGUGCGGGAUGACGGCCUUCGGGUUGUAAACCGCUUUCGCCUGUGACGAAGCGUGAGUGACGGUAAUGGGUAAAGAAGCACCGGCUAACUACGUG